CCUACGGGAGGCAGCAGUGGGGAAUAUUGCACAAUGGGGGGAACCCUGAUGCAGCGACGCCGCGUGAGUGAAGAAGUAUUUCGGUAUGUAAAGCUCUAUCAGCAGGGAAGAAAAUGACGGUACCUGACUACGAAGCCCCGGCUAACUACGUGCCAGCAGCCGCGGUAAUACGUAGGGGGCAAGCGUUAUACGGAUUUACUGGGUGUAAAGGGAGCGCAGACGGCUGUGCAAGUCUGGAGUGAAAGGCGGGGGCCCAACCCCCGGACUGCUCUGGAAACUGUAAAGCUGGAGUGCAGGAGAGGUAAGCGGAAUUCCUAGUGUAGCGGUGAAAUGCGUAGAUAUUAGGAGGAACACCAGUGGCGAAGGCGGCUUACUGGACUGCAACUGACGUUGAGGCUCGAAAGCGUGGGGAGCAAACAGGAUUAGAUACCCUUGUAGUC
rnacentral:rRNA from 1 species